UUUUACAUGACAGCAAGAGAGUGGGAGAUGGAAGGAUGGGCAUGGUUCUCCUGAAACACUGGCAACCAGAAAUAUGGACAGUGAUGACAUUCACAGCAGCUUAGCAGGGAGUUACUGAGAACCAACAGCUUUAUAACUUCAGGCUGAUAUCAGAGAUCAUUCUUCUGAUCUUUGCUUCUCAGGUUCUUCCAAUGUUUUUAGAUAUUCAAAAGAUAAAAACCACCCUGAAGAAAUUCUAGAAAUGGGGAUUCACAGAGUGAAUUCAAUCCCACGCCUCCUCUUCAUUCCCUAUCCACUCACCAAACUGUACCACUGAACAUGUGACACCUCUAUGAAAAAUACAGGAAGCUAUAUAAAUUACAAAAUACACUCACGAUGUCUUCAGCUAAGUGGAAAAAGUAUGUACAUUUUCCAAGAGAGAAAAACAGAUUCAAAGUAUAUGGCUAUCGCCUUCAAGGGAGAGGAGUCACUAUACCAUCCAGGUCAAACAUACGAUACCCCGUCGUACCAAGCUAUUCCCCCCUGUAUAUUCCAGCAAAGACAAGAGACGCUAAAGAGCUUUGAUGAAGACAAGGACAGAAUAUCGUGGAGGUAUACAGAAGAACCAGCUAAACAAUAAGACUGUCCAAGACUCCCUGCUUCAGGAGGCAUGAAUGUCCUCCCUAGCAAAAUCUUUUCCCUGAUCAAGAGACUGGAUCUCUAGGAGAUAGUGGCAAGAAAUAAGCUGUGGGCGUUCACUUACUAAAUGUUUGCUCAUCAUUUAUUAUUCAUUGGACAUAUGUUCAAUAAAUAUUUCCUGAGUAUC